rnacentral:ncRNA from 1 species
GGCGCCACCAAGGGGAGCCCCGGCAAGGGGCUGAGAAACCGCUGGCGCAGCGAGCGCGGUGACCCUUCGAACCUGAACCGGAUCAUGCCGGCGGAGGGAUGGGAAGAAAUGCACCU